GAUGCUGCUAUCGUGACGUAUAAUGUAGUGGACGGUUCAUCAAAAACAACAAGUCAACCACCUCGGUAGCUUGCUAGCCAACGUAGCCGAAAGAUUCAAGCUGUUUUUACGCUUUCGGUGUAUAUUAGCUGCUGUGUUUUAGACACACUUCUAUCGUAUAUACUUGUUAGCCUAUUUAAUUUAAUGUUACGUUUUUUUUAUUAGUCAGAUAUAGUAGCUGGCUGGUUAAAUUAGCACUAGCUUAGUCGCUAAUGAUAGCUAGCUAGCUAAUAUCCCCGAACAUGAGGUCAGUAAGCUUCUCCCCUCCUGCUAAAGAAGAGGUCUGCUGGACGGAGAAAGAGCUCUGGGGCUGAACAUUGUCGUGAAAGAGGAGAAGGAAGAGGAGGAUGUCACAGUUAAAAAAUAAAUUGAGGGUGAGGCUGUUACGGUGAAAGAGGAAGACGCGUUCACAGUGAAAGAGGAGGAUGAGAAAGAGCAUGCCGUUUUUGACGUGAAGAAGGAAGGGGAGAUUUCUGUCGCAUUGAAAGAUGAAGAGGUGGAGAUAGGAGAUCUGAUUAACACCAGACAGAGACGUGACUAUCGUGGAUCCUCUGGGGAGCCUCAACAACAUCAUGAAGCUGACGAGGCAGAGAAGAGUCUCUCCCGAUCAUAUCACCUCAAGAAACACCAGAGGAGACCCACAGGGAAGAAAUCUCACUGCUGCUCUGACUGUGGGAAAGGUUGCAAAUCUUCAUCAGAACUUAAAAUACACCAGCGAGUACACACAGGAGAGAAAUCUCACCACUGUUUCUAUUGUGGGAAGAGUUACUUAAGAUCAGAAUCAUUAAAAGUACACAUGAGAAUUCACACUGGAGAGAAACCUUAUAGCUGUGAUCAAUGUGGGAAGAGUUUUACUACAUCUAGCCAUCGGAUUGUACACCAGAGAACACACACAGGAGACAAAUCGUAUAGCUGUGAUCAAUGUCACAAGAGAUACUCUGAUAAAAGAUCUCUGAUCAAACAUCAGAAAAUACAUACAUGAAGUAGUUGUUUCAUGAUAUCAAUGAAAUGUCACAAUGUAGAAUAUUUGAAUGAUGUCACAAUGUAGAAUGUUUUUUAACAUUGUAGUAGGAAUACAAAGGAUUUGAAUUUGUUAAAAGUCCAUAUUGAUACAGAAACACUAAACCAUGAUUUAGAUGUAUUAAGAACAAGUUGAUUGACAAAGUCAUGAAAAAUGGAAUAAACCACAUUUUGGCUCUGAUAAAAGAUAUGGCUCUGGGGUCAAAAUGAUCCAUGUCAGAACUAUGGUUCAAUGUAAAUAUGUAGUGGGUCUAAAGUUUGUUUUAAAUUAUCACUCAUUAAACACGAAUCAAUCAACACAUGCUUCUCUUUGAACGACUUAAUAUAAUAUUACACUUUUAUGAAAUAAAUGAAAAUAAACUUUUGGUUCCUCAACUGCGUUGCCCCUCCAGUCAGCAGAAAGAGACGCAGCAGAAGUGCCUCUUUUUAGAUUUGAUUUGAUUUAUAUAUUUUUUUAUUCAAAAUGCAGAUCUACAAUUUACAUUGUUACAUCAUACAGAACAGAACACAGGUAUUAACAAGAAAAUACUAAAACAGACAAAAAAUAUAAAUAAUUAACUAUUCUAGUGUAGUUGUAAUCACUCUGAAAAAAUCUAUAAUGAUUCAGGAAGAUGUUAUUGUUGUUGUUAUUCACUAGGAUUAAUGUUUUAAUAAAAUAGUUAAAUUCAAUCAGAAUAAUUUGUCAUUUUUAUGUAGAAUUUUUGGAAUUUUUAUUUGUGUAUAAAGUAUUUGGCAACAAGAAUAAUAAAAAUGAACAAUCAUUUCAA